UAAGGUCACGGCGAGACGAGCCGUUUAUCAUUACGAUAGGUGUCAAGUGGAAGUGCAGUGAUGCAUGCAGCUGAGGCAUCCUAACAGACCGAGAGAUUUGAAC
rnacentral:rRNA from 5 species